CAUUUUUAACCUUUUUUAAUGAACCCUGAUUAUUAUUUAAUUACAAAUGAAGAUGAACAGAUAGAAGGGAAACAGAAGUACAGGUGGAUCCUCCGUGAUAAAAACAAAAGCCUCCGUCUCUCCUCUGGAGUGAAACUUCACCGCCGAGGUGAAAGGAGAGACGAAGACGCUCUGAGAGGACAGGAAGGGACGCAUGUCAAAUAAUACAAUGGUUAAACAGUACAAUGCUCUUCUUUUCUUACAGAAUCCUCCAAAAUGGAAAAAAUAUAUAUAUACACAACAUCAAAAAAAAAGAAAACAAUUGUUUCUUCCCCUCGCUUGUAUAUCAUGUGGGAAUCAUGUGACCCUCCUCUUGUCCACAGUAACAUGGUUAUAAAAUCAGCGUGAGCUUAAAAAUAAAAAUUAAAAAAACAACAAAAAGAGACUGCGCUGAAGCCGACUAGUUAAGGUUCAUGAGGAAAGAGUGCAAACUGGAACAAGAACUCACAGAAAAACAACCAGGAAUUCAUGGAGAAGAGGCCGGGCCAAUGGCAAGAGGGUACAACAAAAUCAAAAAAAUGUUAAUAAUAUAAUAAUUACAAGAGUAACAGUAAUAUGUCUGAAAAAAUACAGGAGAAAAAAAACAAAAGAUAAGAACAGCAUCGGUGAAGUCGAGGGGUGAGAGUAUCGACCUGGCGGGGAAACAGUUGUUCUCUUGUGUUUGUAGUUUGAAGCCACGACAGGUAAGGCAGCACAGGUGUGACAGUUCAGGUGUUGACUUCCUUUAACAGACGCUUGCUAACUGCUACAUCUGUCCUUAAAGUCCCCUAAAUGGAUUUGCAGGCACAGUUUAACAAAUCUUCAGGUUAAAUCCAGAUCAGAAGGAUAGAUGUGAGACUUUCUGGUGCCUGGUGAAGAAAACGAAUGAAAUUAAAGACAGCGAUACAGUUAAAGACUAAAAACUAUUCAAAAACAGGACAAGUUUUGAUUUAUAGUACAUUUUUCUUUGAGCUGUAGCUUUCUUCUGGUUGGAAACGGCACAAAAAAGUGACAAAGGUUGUUAAGAAAAUUGUGUUUGAGAUGCUCACAAUGAAGCUUAAU
ensembl:lncRNA